GACGAACGCUGGCGGCGUGCUUAACACAUGCAAGUCGAACGGAAGGGCCCUGCUUUUGUGGGGUGCUCGAGUGGCGAACGGGGGAGUAACACGUGAGUAACCUGCCCUUGACUUUGGGAUAACUUCAGGAAACUGGGGCUAAUACCGGAUAGGAGCCCCUGCUGCAUGGUGGGGGUUGGAAAGUUUCGGCGGUUGGGGAUGGAUUCGCGGCUUAUCAGCUUGUUGGUGGGGUAGUGGCUUACCAAGGCUUUGGCGGGUAGCCGGCCUGAGAGGGUGACCGGCCACAUUGGGACUGAGAUACGGCCCAGACUCCUACGGGAGGCAGCAGUGGGGAAUAUUGCACAAUGGGCGGAAGCCUGAUGCAGCAACGCCGCGUGCGGGAUGACGGCCUUCGGGUUGUAAACCGCUUUCGCCUGUGACGAAGCGUGAGUGACGGUAAUGGGUAAAGAAGCACCGGCUAACUACGUG
rnacentral:rRNA from 1 species